rnacentral:rRNA from 1 species
UACGGAGGGGGCGAGCGUUAUUCGGAAUUAUUGGGCGUAAAGGGCGCGUAGGCGGCUUGAUAAGUCAAAGGUGAAAUCCCUCGGCUCAACUGAGGAACUGCCUUUGAAACUGUCUGGCUUGAGGCCGGGAGGGGGUAGCGGAAUUCCCAGUGUAGCGGUGAAAUGCGUAGAUACUGGGAGGAACACCGGUGGCGAAGGCGGCCCACUGGAUCGGUACUGACGCUGAGGUGCGAAAGCGUGGGGAGCAAACAGG